GUUGGUUAGGCUGUCCCAGCAAGGGACGCUAAAGCGUUCGAUAUGUUAUAUUUAGCGUUUCUCGCCGUCCGCUACCGCCCCCAGCAAGAACCGGCAAAUGGUUCGCUAAAAUAUAGCGGCAGCUCGACGACCGGUAAAUGUGGAGUGUUGUUGUUCAUCCGCUAUCCGUCCGCACAGAGCUGUUGCCUGGUUCUUAUCGUCUUCGCCAACAGCGUGCCACAACACAACUCUGCUACGCCACCAGCUCUGCUGCUGCGCCAACCCGUUGAGCACCACGCCAUGGCCGUCAGGGCGGAGGUUCCACGACGUGGCGCCGUGCGUGGUCUCGUCCGCGACAUUCGUGUCCAGAGCGUGCCGAUUCGGUCCAGCACAUGGAAGGAGCAUCAUGGGCAUGGAGUCCAUGGUGGCCUCCGGCGGCGCGGUGCUGUUGUAGGCAGCCCUAUCCGCCGGGUAUGAUCUGGGCAACCUGUAUGCUCCAAAGCCACAGCCAUACAGGUGGGUGGAGGACAUGCACUAGGUGCUCGAUGAUAUGCUGAACCGGCCACCCAGAAAUCAGUUGUCGCUGUUAAGCCAAAACAAACGAUGCUUAUUGUGUUUUUUGCCAUUUUUAUUAAUUGCAAUCGUUGAAGCACCGCUCAGAACAUGGAAGGGAUGGAAUUGUAUGCUCGGUCUCUCUUGUAAUUGUACAUGUAAAUUGCAUGUCGUACGUGCCAAUUCAUGGUACGUAGUAGAUGCUUUCGUAUCGAGGUUAUGCCUUUUAUUUCUUUGGUACUUAUUUCUUAGUAAAUGAAUAUAUUCUGUUAA